GGGGAAUAUUGCACAAUGGGGGAAACCCUGAUGCAGCCAUGCCGCGUGUGUGAAGAAGGCCUUCGGGUUGUAAAGCACUUUCAGCGAGGAGGAAAGGGGUGAUGCUAAUACCAUCAUCCUGUGACGUUACUCGCAGAAGAAGCACCGGCUAACUCCGUGCCAGCAGCCGCGGUAAUACGGAGGGUGCAAGCGUUAAUCGGAAUAACUGGGCGUAAAGCGCACGCAGGCGGUCGGAUAAGUCAGAUGUGAAAGCCCCGGGCUCAACCUGGGAACUGCAUUUGAAACUGUUCGACUAGAGUCUUGUAGAGGGGGGUAGAAUUCCAGGUGUAGCGGUGAAAUGCGUAGAGAUCUGGAGGAAUACCGGUGGCGAAGGCGGCCCCCUGGACAAAGACUGACGCUCAGGUGCGAAAGCGUGGGGAGCAAAC
rnacentral:rRNA from 1 species